ACACUCCUACGGGAGGCAGCAGUGGGGAAUAUUGGACAAUGGGCGCAAGCCUGAUCCAGCCAUGCCGCGUGAGUGAUGAAGGCCCUAGGGUUGUAAAGCUCUUUCACCGGUGAAGAUAAUGACGGUAACCGGAGAAGAAGCCCCGGCUAACUUCGUGCCAGCAGCCGCGGUAAUACGAAGGGGGCUAGCGUUGUUCGGAUUUACUGGGCGUAAAGCGCACGUAGGCGGACUAUUAAGUCAGGGGUGAAAUCCCGGGGCUCAACCCCGGAACUGCCUUUGAUACUGGUAGUCUUGUGUUCGAGAGAGGUGAGUGGAAUUCCGAGUGUAGAGGUGAAAUUCGUAGAUAUUCGGAGGAACACCAGUGGCGAAGGCGGCUCACUGGCUCGAUACUGACGCUGAGGUGCGAAAGCGUGGGGAGCAAACAGGAUUAGAUACCCUUGUAGUCCCAUGAU
rnacentral:rRNA from 1 species